rnacentral:lncRNA from 1 species
AUUUAUUUAUUGAUAUUAACUUACUCAUUUCAGCAUUACAUAAUUGGUAUCACCAAUUAUCUCAAUACAUAUGAAAGCAAGUAAUAUACUAAGGUGACAUUGGAAAUUCGACAAACAACAAUGGAAAAUCUUAGACAUGCCAAAUGAACAUCAAAUUUAGUGUUUUCCCUUGAGAAGGAACUUUUGCAGCCAAAAAGCAGACAUGAGAAAGUAUAAAGUGAUGAGCAACAAUGUAGGGUUCUGUAGUUGAGUCACCAGUAGAGCAAUUUCCAACAUAUUUAGAGCAUCUUGCAGGUGGAGAAGUGCCUCCAUGGUAUCCAUUAAUGGUGUGUCCCAUAUACUUGGUCCUCUACCAUCUAUAUUUGAAGCUCCUUCUAUCUGA